UGACUAGCACCAGUGCACCACCAUCAGCUCCACCAGAUUAACGUAAUUAGUCGAUAACGAACUUGCAUCCCUCGAUUUCUCUCACGAUCAAGCUCGAAAAGGUCCAAGACUUAUCAACUUAUUCCAGCAUCUUCUUUGUAAAAAAUCUCCCAAACUGCUAUUUCUGCAAAAUUAAAAAAUCUCUAAUCUUUGUUAAGUUCCAGCUUCACAGUAAUGAACAAAUUUAAUUUUAAUUUUCCACAAAACUAAUGUAAUCAAGUCAACUUUUUAAUUUUAAGUUGUAUCGUAAACUAAUUGAUACUCAUGCAUUUCUCAGCAAUGCACUACAUGCAAA
rnacentral:lncRNA from 1 species